UUAUUUAUUUGCUACUCUUAGAAAAAUCUCAUUUUUGUUUGGACUCAGAGGUAGAAGCUCUCAAAGAGGAUACUCCCGUCUCUUGGCAAUCUGUGCUUGGUGCUUUUCUUUGGCCUCCUUCAUUCUCUUGGCCAAAGGUUGAGCAUAUUCUGCACCCUCUUACUUACUUUUCUCUGUACGCUGUUUCUUCAGAGUGAUUCGCCGACAUUUGGGUUGGAGGACACACAGAGGACCAAGACGCUGAAUCUUGGGCGCUUUGGUUCUAGGUUUCUUACCUCCUUUUUUAGGGGCUUUCUCACAACAUACGGGCGGACAUCAUCUUCUUCAGAAAGACUGAAAAGCUUGUGGAUUCUGCUAGCUCUUUGGGGCCCCAGUUUUGUUUUUUUUUUUAACAAUGACCAAGUUGAGAAGCCUGAGAUCGGCGUCCACAAUGCAACCCUGAACAGAUUUGCGCUUUCUCUCUCCAGUCCUCCUUGGUCUGUAGCGGGAAUGCCCCUUACCCAGCAUCAGGCGGACACGGCCAUGGAUCAAGAGCACCUGCUUUGUGGGGAAGCCUUGUUUGUUAUCGCCACCCUUGCUCCAGACCACGAAACUUGCCAUUCUUCACCCAGAACAUCGGAAGCAACAUCUGUGGCCACGUGCUUCUCCUAAAAGCUGCAUCUCUGGGGUACAUCGUGGGAUAAACUUUAGGAUAUGUAAUCACUAAGAGAUCUGAAACUACCAAGCUGUUUUCCAAUGUACCAUUUUGCAUUCCCACAAGCAAUGUAUGCAUUCCAGUUGCUCCGCAUCCACGCUGACACAUGGUAUUUUCAGCCUUUUUCAUGUGAGCUAUCUUACUACAUCCCUGGACCUCUGGGAAUUCCGAACAAGGCCUUGGUGGACCAAGGUUCCAGAGAAGUAACAAGGCACAAGAGAAGGAGCCAGG